rnacentral:rRNA from 1 species
AACGAACGCUGGCGGCAGGCCUAACACAUGCAAGUCGAGCGAGAUCUUCGGGUCUAGCGGCGGACGGGUGAGUAACGCGUGGGAAUAUGCCUCUUGGUACGGAAUAGCCUCGGGAAACUGGGAGUAAUACCGUAUGUGCCCUUUGGGGGAAAGAUUUAUCGCCAAGGGAUUAGCCCGCGUUGGAUUAGGUAGUUGGGGGGGUAAUGGCCUACCAAGCCGACGAUCCAUAGCUGGUUUGAGAGGAUGAUCAGCCACACUGGGACUGAGACACGGCCCAGACUCCUACGGGAGGCAGCAGUGGGGAAUCUUAGACAAUGGGGGCAACCCUGAUCUAGCCAUGCCGCGUGAGUGAUGAAGGCCUUAGGGUUGUAAAGCUCUUUCAGCUGGGAAGAUAAUGACGGUACCAGCAGAAGAAGCCCCGGCUAACUCCGUG